rnacentral:rRNA from 1 species
UACGGAAUGUGCAAACGUUAUUCGGAAUCACUGGGCUUAAAGAGUCCGUAGGCGGCAUGUUAGGUGAGGUGUGAAAUCCCCCGGCUCAACCGAGGAAUUGCGCUUCAAACCGGCGUGCUUGAGGAAGGUAGAGGUGGGCGGAACUGAUGGUGGAGCGGUGAAAUGCGUUGAUAUCAUCAGGAACACCGGUGGCGAAGGCGGGUCUCUGGGCCGAUACUGACGCUGAGGAGCGAAAGCGUGGGGAGCAAACAGG